UACGGGGGGGGCAAGCGUUGUUCGGAUUCAUUGGGCGUAAAGGGUGCGUAGGCGGCGCGGUAAGUCGGGUGUGAAAUCUCGGGGCUUAACUCCGAAACUGCAUUCGAUACUGCCGUGCUUGAGGACUGGAGAGGAGACUGGAAUUUACGGUGUAGCGGUGAAAUGCGUAGAUAUCGUAAGGAAGACCAGUGGCGAAGGCGGGUCUCUGGACAGUUCCUGACGCUGAGACGCGAAAGCGUGGGGAGCGAACAGG
rnacentral:rRNA from 1 species